GGAGUGUAAUCCAAAGUGAAAGGGCAAGGGAGGUCUAGCUAGAGGGAGGGUGGCAGGGGAUCGGGGCCUGGUGUGGAAGUCAUGCGUUGCACUCAUGUGUGCAUGGACCCCAGCAGGGUAAGUGUGAGGCCACAGGCGGGACCCCAUGUGCCAUGCUUAGGGGUUCAGACAUUGUCCUGGAGAUGAUGAAGGACCCCUGAGAGUUUUAAGCAGAGUUGGGUGUGAAGAUGGAUCUGAGAGGCCAAGACCGAGCAGGGAGACAAGUCAUGAUGGUCCUGAUCCGAGACGGUGUGGGAGGUGGGAACUGACUUUAAGAUGGUGGAAAUGCAAAGCCAGGUGAUGUUUCUGGGACAGGAUUGACCAAAUCUAGUGACCUACUAGAUAUAGGGAGAAAAAAUAAGGAAAGCAUAGGGGAUCACACUGAGGGUUUGCAUUUGAGAGACUAGAGUCAGGAGGCAAGGCAGGAUGGGGGUGGAGAAGGGGAAUGAUGGGGCUGAAAUUAGACCACAGUGGUGGUGGGAAUGUGGACACUGAGGGAAGAGGAGGCAGUGAGCACACGAGUCUUUCAUGAUGUUUGGUGAUGAAGAGAAGGAGGGAUGUUCUGUAGCUUUAAAGGAUUUUUCAAAAGUAGGAGAAAGAACCUGUUUGUAAGUAGAGGGAAGAUACGGUAGAGAGGGAGAGAUCAUAGGGUGUAGAGAACUGCCAUUUGCUGAGUGGGUGCCGCUUGCAGGCCCGGAGCCAUGCCCUUAACAUGCAUAUCUCAUUUCAGCAGCAUGCCAACCCAUGGGGUAGCUCUACUUAUACCCAUUUUCUGAAUGAAGAAACUGAGGCAGACCGAUGGAUUCACCCAGGGAUGGGACUUGCUGAGCAGUUGAAGCAAAAGAAUAGAGUGACUGGGAAGGGAAGAAAAUGAAGUCAAACGAAAGCUAAUAGAAUGGGGUGGCGGAGUGCGGGGCUUAACGGGCUGAGGGGUGUCUAUAUUCCAGACGUGGGAUUUGGAGUUGUUCUGGCUAAUGUCAAAGACCACACACAAGGACAUGGACGUCAACGGUUCAUUCACAUGAGAUGACAGUUACCCAGGAUGAACCAACUGCAAAAAGCUGUCUGUGGAUGGUAACUGCAGGUGACCUGAAUGCAUGUGCCUCCUCCUUCUUUUUCCGCUUUUUGUCUUUUCCUUAAGCCUCUCUGAACAGUAUCUUCAGAAGUGUCUGUUUCCCACAGAGCAUGGUGUGUCCAAGAAAUACCCCACAUUCCCAUUGCCUUUGCUAUUUAAUGCUGUAGUUGGGAGAGGCAGUCUUGCUUUCUGCUUGCCUGUCUUUUUGGAGCACAUAUGAACUACAAAUAGAUACAGCCCACAUUUUGCCUCAAAGAUAUAUUCUUUGUUUUCUCCAAGUUGCCAAGUUGAACUCUAAGCUGAUGUUUAAUUUAUCUGUGGUAAUGAGGAACGGGGAUAGCCUUGCAUAAUUGGAAUCUGAAGAUAAGCCAAAAGCUUCUUUUAGCCAAAAUUCCUACAUCCUUUCCCACCAACUCUUUAUGCCUGUGUUGCUAACAAAUGGCAAAUUGACUAAUCUGAGUUUCACCAGUUCUUUGUGUGGUGUAUCUGACCUUUCACAAUGGGUUCAUACCAGAGUCCACUUCCAUGGUCCUUCAAGAUGUGGGUGUCUGGUUCUCAGGUAACCAACCAAAACCUUUGUACCUACCACUCAUGUAUAUUUCAGUUGAAGUUAGAAAAGCACCCCCUCAGUCUAUAGCUAACCUCUGGUGAAAUUGAGGAAUGAAUGAAUUGCUAAGCCAUCUAUAAAUAGAAUUCCGGGACAAUUCAUCUGAUGUGAGAGACAACCCUUUGAUAGGUUUCUGAGAAGAUGUGUGAAGCCACUACUCUCAAUUGUUCUUUCAUUUACUUUUUGCUAAUCAAAGCCCCAGACAUAUUCCAAAAUGUGAGAUGUUUUGGAAGAUUAACCAAAACACAAGCUGAAAUUUACCAGGGGCUCUGUAUAAAGUUAUACCCUUAGGCUUUUAUUCUCAAAGCCCUCCCAAGUACAGAAGUGUAGCAUGGGAUGAUGUGACAUAGAAUCGCAGAGUGGGAGGAGCCCACCAUACUUCAAUUCAGUGUAUCCAGAAGGAAAACUAAGGUUCACAGACUUGCUUAGGGGCUUAGUCAAGGGACUAUUUGUUCAGAACCAACAUUCAUACAAAGAGUCUUAAAUUUAAAAGGGGAUUUAUUUCAGAGAAACCUCAUGGAAACCAGUUGAAAGAGGGUUAGUGGGGACUUUCGGGAAGUGAAAAGUCGCUGGUUAAUUUCUCUGUUUCUAUCUCUGUGGGGCCUUGCAGAUUCUUUUCUUUGCUUCCGGGAGCCUUCUUCAUAUCUGCAGUGGAUAUGAGGUGAUAUGGUUUGGCUCUGUUCCCCACCCAAAUCUCAUCUCGAAUUGUAAUCCUACGAUCGCCACGUGUCAAGGGCAGAAACUGGUAGGAGGUGAUUGGAUCGUGGGGGCAGUGUGCUGUUCUCGUGAUAGUGAGUGAGUUCUCACGAGAUCUGAUGAUUUUAUAAAGGGCUCUUCCCCUUUCGCCAUUCACUCUGUCCUGCUGCCUUGUGAAGAAGGUGUCUGCUUCCUCUUCACCUUCUGCCAUGAUUGUCAGUUUCCUGAGGCCUUCCCAGCCAUGCUGAACUGUGAGUCAAUGAAACCUCUUUCCUUUAUAAAUUACCCAGUCUCGGGUAUUUCUUUAGAGCAGUGUGAGAAUGGACUAACACGAGGCUUCGCUGGUCUCUCAUGACCAACCCAAAAGGCAAGGUCAGCUUCCAUGUCUCAAUGGCCUUCCAGUGAGGCCCCUCACAGCUAACUGACCAGGGCAGGGGUCUCCUUGGUCCAGCUGAGAUCAGGGCCUGGCUCCGGCCCAUGCCUGUGGUAAGAGUGGGACUAUCCCUUGUGGAGCUGACAAGGGCUGACUCUCUGUAAGGGUGGCUAAGGCACUACUGGCCACUCUGGUGCCCCAGGAUGGCACAGGCAGGUCAGAACCUGGCUGUCACUCCAGGCCAGCCUUCUGCCACUGACUGGAAAGGUGGGCUCAAACACAACUGCAGUUAAAAGAGAGGAAUUGCCCCGGAGGUGAAUGCAGUCACCUGCAUAGGGGAAAAGGAGGUGAGAGGCCUGCUCUACUCCCCCUGAUCAGAUGCCAUCCAAGGGCACAUGGCUGACAUGUUUGAAGAAAAACCCAGAGUCAACUCAGAGCCCAACUCAGGCCUGAUAAAAAGUGACUAUGAUGAUGAAGAGAUUCAAAAUUAUGCUGCAGAAGGAAUGGCUGGAGGGUCUAGGCGUAUUUCACCUGGAAAGAGGAAGCUUUAAAGGAGAUGUGAGUCUUUUGUCCAAAUGUGUAGACUGACUAAAUUCUUUAAAGAGUUUUAUGUUUGUGUAUAUCUGAAGGGUCCAGAACUAGCAUCAAAGGGUAGAAUUUAGAGGGAGGAAGACUUUGGAUUAAAAUUAGGGGCCACAUACUUUCUGUGAGGGUAUCUUGAUAUUGGCUGCCCUGUCACAUUUAAGAAAGGAUGGGAUGAUCAUUCGUAAGAGAAGCUGUAGAGCUGAUCCACAAACUAAGGGAGUUCUGAAGUCUAUUCUAGUUUGGAAUUCUAUGGCUCUGCUGCAGGUGCAUCUGGUUGGCUGGAUUGAUUGCUAUCACAGGGGCAGAGGCCACUGUGUAUGAUCACUUAGGUCAGUGAAAUCAGUAGAGGCCAAGCGGCUGCACCACUGGAGGACAGCAGGUUGCCCUGAUCCUGAAUCCCUUCAACACUGGGCCUUCUCACAUCUGUUUGAGACAAGCCACUUUCAGCUGAGAUGCACUAGAUCCUUCAAGCCUCUCUACCACCCACAGGGUCACCAUCUGCUGGAGCGGCCAGUGGGGCUGCAGGUUACCCAUCAAAGCCCAAGCUAUGAAAUUGUCAUUGAGAGGAGUGCUUUAGACAUAGAGCUCAUUUGGUGGCAGAGAUCAGAAGCUUGUUCAAAGCAGCCUGGAAUUUUUAAAAGAAUAAGGGAAACAUGUAAAGGCAGCUUGCAGUCUAUCUGAGAAAACAAGACAUACCCUCAAGCAGAUAAUUGCCAUUUACAGUCAUUCCUAUGAUCUCAGCACUAUGUGGGUUUAAUCAGCCUUCUGCUAAAAGGAACCAGGUCCAAGACAUUCAGCAUGGCAUGGUAGCUAAGCAAGAUCCAGUGUCUUCAUUCAGCACUGACAGAGUCACUGUCUCUGAGCAGUACUUAGCUACAGAAACUUUGAAGCCUUCUGCAAUUUAUUAUGCUGAGUGCAUCUAAUCAACAUGUAGAAUAAAGAUGGAGCUCCAGAGAAGUUAGCACGCAAUCUGGGUGACAGGUGCUGAGCAAGGACAGCCUCUUCCCAAUACUCUCCAAGCGGCCUGCUGUUUCCAGGGAAUGAUAUUAUCAUUCUUGGCAUCUAGAACAGGACUCAAUGUAAGAUUGUCUAAGGCAGUCACUGGCUACAGUUCAUGGAAGCUUCAGGACGGCACUUGGCAUGAGCUCUCAGUGCUAUGGAAAAAAGAAGCUCUUAGGUGGAAUAUUUCUAGCUAAAAAAUGUAUAGUUUUUUUUGUUGUUGUUUCUGUUCCUUUCAUUUUUAUUUUUAGAAAUAGGAUUUCAAAGGGCAUUUGUCCUGGUCCCUCAGGAAAGAACAUUUUCUAAAGUGUUCCCAUCAACAAUGCCUCAGGUGUUACAGGUCCCUACUCUUGGCCAUCCAGCUCUGCCACCGUGCCUGGAUUCUGCAUUUUCAAAGGGACCAGCUUACCAGCAGCAUCCUCUUCCUGCUGCCUCUUGACUCACACAGAUCCCAUCAAUAAGCAUUCACUGAGGCCUGCUCUAAGUGAGGCUCUGGGGAGAGUGCUGUGGGAGCUUCAAGAGCAAUAGCAGCCCUGAGCUCCAGGAGCUUCCCCUCUGAGGUGGGGAAUUGCGAUGCAUGGAACAUCUCCAACACACAAAGCAGACUCUUGCUAGGCUUCGAACUGGAAUUGCAUUGAUCGUAUUAACUUGGGGGAGAUCUGAUAUAUUUAAAAGAAAAAAAUAAGCCGGGCAUGGCGGCUCACGUCUGUAAUCCCAGCACUUGGGGAGACUGAGGUAGGUGGAUCAUUUGAGGUCAGGAGUUUGAGACCAGCCUGGCCAACAUGGUGAGACCCCGUCUCUACUAAAAAUACAAAAAUUAGCCGGGCGUGGUGGGUGCCUGUAAGCCCAGCUACGUGGGAGGCUGAGGCAGGAGAAUCGCUUGAACUUGAGAGAUGGAGGCUGCAGUGAGCUGAGAUCAUGCCACUGCACUUCAGCCUGGGUGACAGAGUGAGACUCUGUCUCAAAAAAGAAAAAAAAAAAAAAAGAAAAAAAUAUAGGCGAUGGAACAGAAAAGUGGGCAGUGGCUAUGAAGAUGCAAUCCAAAUAUAAGGUAAUACUUAUCACCAAAGAAAUAGCAAUUAAGACAACAGUGAGACAGCAUCUUGUGUCUGUCAGAUUGGAGGAAAAAUACUAAAUUGAAUAAUGUGAAUUGUUGUUGAGGAUUGUGGAACUAGCCUUCCAUGAAACGUUUCUAGAAGUCUAAAUGAGUGUAGACACUCCAGAGAGCAAUCUGGCGGUAUUUAGCAAUCCCAUACCUGGGCAUAUAACUUGGACAAACUCUGAUUAUAACAGACUAGGCCCAAGGAUAUGUUUAUUGCAGUAUUAUUGGUGGUAGUGAUGAGUUGGAGGCAAUAUAAGUUUCUACCACAAGGAGGGUUGAUAUGAGCGUUUGAUGAAUAGUAUGCAGUAGUCAGAAUAAUAAAACAGAUGUACACUCAGCAUGGAGAAAUCUGAAUAAGAUACUGUUGGCUGAUGACAGUAAGACAUGGAUUGAGAUAUAUAGUAGAGUGUCAUUUAUAUAAAUUCAAAACACGUGCACAAGAUGAUCAUGUCUCUAGUAGCUACAAAAGUGCUUGAUACAGAGUAGGCCUUCAGUAAAUUGUUUUACUUGUUGUCAAUAAAAAUAUAUAUACUAAAUAAAUAUCUAACAUUUAUGUAAGUUAAGAAUACAUAGACAUAUACAUAUUUUAAGGGUAUAUACAAAUGCGAAACAUAAUUUAAGGGUACGGCUCUUCUGGAUAGUCCAGCGUUCAAAUGGAGUUCUCUGGAGUGAAGUAAAAUUAAUUCACAAACCUCUGUUGCAUCCAAGGUCAAAUACUCUCACGAACACCCACUCUCUGUUCCCUGGUUUAAUACUCACUGAGUAACAUUCUGAAGCCUGAGACUUUUAUACAUACCCAGUUUCCAGAAAAGGCACAAAGAAGCUUUCCCCAAAAGAAAAUACAUGAAUAUUCCAUUUAUUUAAAAACAUCCGAGCAGGUCUAAGCAAUAUAAAUUAAUAUAGCAGCAUCAGUGUCUUGUGAGUUAAGACGAGUGUCCUAAGAUUUAGUUGCUUAACUGAUUCCUCUAUGUCCCUAAAUCAAAUGAUGAAAUACAGAUUUAGGUUCCAUUUUUUUGAAAGAAUACUUCAUAGGUCAUUCUGUCUACUUCCUACUGCACCACAUUUAGGAGGGAGGCACAUCAUGUGUGGUUGUCUCUUUAGUAAUUCUGAGAUUGGUCAAGGGGUCCAGGUGGUGUCUGACCUUAUUCCAUCAUUACAAAAGAAGUCACCAUCUACUUUUUACCUAGUGGUUUCAGUAUCUUUGGAUAAUCACUGCCCGGAUUUAUCAAGGUUUGCAAAAUGAUUUUCUAAUUCUGUGGUUCCUUCUAUACACAUUAGCUGGGAUUCUUCAAAAUGUAACUUACAAAACAAACAAAAUCACUAUCAAGACUUGACAUUCCUUCUUCCAUAUCAAUUUUCAGAAUAGUGAUAAAAGUUACCAGUAAUGAUUUCUAGUGGAGACCAAUAUGUUUUUCUCAUCAUUAUAUACUUUUUUUUUUUUUUGAGACAGAGUCUUGCUCUGUCACCAGGCUAGAGUGCAGUGGUGUGAUCUCUGCUCACUGCAACUUCCGCAUCCUGGGUUCAAGCAAUUCUCCUGCCUCAGCCUCCCAAGUAGCUGGGACUACAGGUGCACACCACCACGCCCAGCUGAUUUUUGUAGUUUUAGUAGAGACAGGGUUUCACCAUAUUGGCCAGGAUGGUCUCGAUCUCUUGACCUCGUGACCUGCCCACCUCAGCCUCCCAAAGUGCUGGGAUUACAGGCAUGAGCCACUGCGCCCAGCCCAUAAAUUUUUAUAUAUUUGAUGAGGUUGAAUUAAUUGCCAUCAUUAUUCUCUUUUCUCUCUCUCUUUAGGAUCCUUAAACAGCUUAUAUUCAAUAAACUGCAUAUGUUUAAAUGGCACACUUUGUAAAGUUUGGUGAUACUGUACAGUCACAAAAGCAUAAUCAAUGUAGCAAACAUAUCUAUUGUAAUCUAAAAUGUCCUUGUGCCUUUUUUAACCUCCUGCUCCUCCUCCAUACUAUAUCCCCAGGCGACCUCUGAUUUACUUUAUGUUGGAAUUUUUGAGAAAUUCAUACAAAUGGCAUUAUUUAGUAUGUACUCUUUGUGUCUGACUGCUUUUACUCAGCAUAAUUAUUUUGAGAUUCAACAUGUUGUCUGUAUCAAUACCUUUAAUUGUCAAGUGGUAUGCUAUUGUAUGACUAUGUCACAAUUGUUUAGCCAUCGAUGAACAUUUGGGUCGUUUCCAGUUUGGGGUUACUACAAAUAAAGCUGCUAAGAACAUUUUUAUAUAAAUCUUUGUGCAGACAUAGAUUUUAUUUCUAUGGGAUAAAUACCUACUAGUGGAAAGGCUACAUCAGAUAGUAGGGUAUAUACUUAACUUUUCAAAAAAAACUGCAAAUGUGCUUUCCAUAGAAGUGCUAUUGCACAUUUCUCCUGAGCAUGAGAAUUUCAAUUCUUCCCCAUUCUCUCCAAUAUUUAGUAUGGUCAGACCUUAUAAUUUUAUCCAUUUUAAUAGGAGUAUAUUAUGGUUUGAAUGUGUCCCCUCCAAAAUUCAGGUGUUGACAUUUAAUGGCCAAUGUGAUAGUAUCAAGAGAUAGGACCUUUAAGAGGUGGUUAGGUCCUGAGGACUCCUCACUCAUGAAUGGGAUUAAGAGAUUUCGUGCAGCUUUUGACUCCCUUGCCCUUUCACCUUUCACCAUGUGAGGACACAGUGUUCCUCCCCUCCAGAGGACGCCACAACUGGGCGCCAUCUGGGAAGCAGAGGGCAGUCCUCAAUAGACAAAGGAACCUGCCAGCAUCUUGAUCUGGGACCUUGCAGCCUCCAGAAACUAUGAGAAAUACAUUUUUGUUCUUUGAUAAAUUACCCAGUCUUCUGUAUUUUGUUAUGGCAGCACAAAAAGAACUGUGACACUGUGUACAUGUACUUAAUCGUGGUUUUACAGCAGUCUCCCUUUCUCUGCUGUUUCACUUUUUUGUUGUUUGUUUGUUUUGAGAUGGAGUCUCGUUCUUGUCGCCCAGUCUGGAGUGCAAUGGCGUGAUCUCGGCUCACCGCAACCUGUCCUCCUGGGUUCAAGCAAUUCUUCUGCCUCAGCCUCCGAAGUAGCUAGGCUUACAGACACGUGCCACCACACCCUGCCAAUUUUUGUAUUUUUAGUAGACAGGCUGUUAGGCAGGCUGGUCUUGAACUCCUAACCUCAGGUGAUCCGCCCACCUUGGCCUCCCAAAGUGCUGGGAUUACAGGCAUGAGCCACCGCACCCAGCAUGCUGAUUCACUUUCUGCAGUUUCAGUUACCCACAGUCAACCAUGGGCCAGAACAUAGUUACACUGCCACAAGUUGUGGAUGGGAGGGCUGGAUUUCCUGAACCCUUCCCAGCAUUGCUCGAGUUUCUUGGUUCCUCCGCUAGAGAAGAGGAGCCCCAGAGCUCUGUAGGCUCCAGAUGAAGUGACCACUUCUUAGCACCUCCACAAUUGACACCUCGUCUGUCACCACCUCUCUGCCUGGGUGACUACAGUGGUGGCCCCCUCCCUGCCCUCCAAGUGCCCACGCUUGCCCCUACAGUCUGUUCCCAACACAGCAGCCAGAGAGACCAUCUUGCAAUAAAAGUGCCCAAAUCAUAAGCAGACAUCUCAUUGGAUUUACUGAGCACACCCAGGUAUCCACCACCCAAGGGAAGCAACGAAGGUGACCCCACCCAGCAUUUACCCUGUGUCCCUAUCUUGGACAUUGAUUCUGCUCCAGAGGUCACAAUCUCAUGCCGCCAAUUGCCAUAGAUUCGUUUUGCUUGGUCUUAAACUUUAUAUAAAUGAAAAUUCAACUUUAUGCUGUCUACAAGAGGCAUACUAACUCAUAAAAAUUAAAAGACUGACCCAGAAAACACAGCAAAAAGAAAAAUAUCACGAAAUGAUUGUCAGUCCAAUUAAAAUUCAAGACUGGAAGAAUUCAUGGGUCAGAGAAGGCAGGCUAGGCUGGCCCACUUUAGCCUAAAUCCCGGGAUCCAGCAAGCAUUCAUCUCACAUAGCUCGGGUUUUACUGAGUUGGUUCCUCUGCCUGCUUCUCUGACUUGUUUACCCGUGGAGUACACGAGAACUACAACCCCCAGCAUGCACUGCGCUGGUACAAGUGGAUCUGCUCGGCACCUAUAACCUAAUUACCUCUCAGGCUCACACAAGUCUCUGGCCGCUAAGCGAAUGAUCUCCCAAAGGGAUUAUUCUCAAGCAGCACAGAAACUGUCCCUAUGCCUCAGGUGGCCCCAGAACUCUUUCGUACUAGAGACUUAUCUGUUAAUAAAGUUAACAAAGGAAAGUGGCCUUCCAAGAAUGUUUGUUUGGGCCACUACCUGGAAGAAAUAACACUUGACCAUGAGAGACUUGGCUGAGCAGUGCUGGGUCAGCUUAACCAAAGAAGACCAGCCAUCACCCACGGCAAGAGCAGCUCUGACUUGGACCCACUGUUCCCCCAGCCUGUUAGCAGCCUGUGAACAAUCUUUAAGUGACCCCUGGCCCUGUCACAUCUCCAUUCAACAGGGUUCUUGGGGAGGAUGUGUGGACCGAGAACAGUGCCCACCCACACCACCUGUAAGUGUGGCCACGGCAGCCAGCCAGCAUGGAUGCUAAGUAACAAGUGGUAUUGGGGCACAGAUGUGGCGGGAGCGCUUUGGGGCAAAGAAAGAGGUGCUGUGAGUGAGGACAGAAAGGAAGGGGAAAAAAAAGCCUCAUGGGUUAGAGCGCCUCUCACCUUUGGCUCUUCUUCAGAAGACUGGUAAAAGAAAACAAGAAGAGAAAUUGGUUUCCCUGACUUCUCUAAAGCAAGCGUUCUUCAGAAAAGAGAAUCGAUCAGCCUGGUUAAAGUGGAUAAACUAUGUGAUGUCCAUCCAGAGAGGUGUCUAUUAAUGGCUGUAAAAUGGAAAGAUGAAUCAAUGGGACCGAUUAAUAUUUAUGAAGAGUUGAACUAGGCAGAGUGAAAAAGCCUUGUAUAUUGGAUAAGAAAGGAAAAGCAUUGCACACCAUAGGAUGCGUUUGUUUGGCUAAGGUUUCUGUUUUGAUCACUGGGUAAUUGUAUAGAGCAGGGGCGUAUGGUAGAGAAAGAAAAUCUAUAUCUAGAAGUUAUUGACUUUAUGUACAAAAGCACUGGUUGGUGCCUAUUUUUGAGGACCACUCCAUCUUAAAAAUAACUUUGGUUUUGUACGGCCUAGUUGUGGUGGAAAAGGAGCUCCAAAGAGUAAGCAAGUUUCCUACAAAAAGAAUCCAAGCUGUUGAAACUACAAUUAAGAAAUGCAAAGAGUUACUAAUUUUACUACUUAGAGGAAAGGAAAUUCACAAGCAGGAAAGAAACUGUGGAUCAGGGCAAGUUGUAACUCUAGAGGUUCAGAGAUAGGAGCUCUAAUUACACCAGGGCAAGGGAGUACUGUUUGGGGAAAUUUCUGAAACAUGAAAUAGGAAAGCUGAGGGUCAAAAUGAUAUUGUGAUGUGAAUAAAUAGAGAAGACAUGUUUGCAUGGAGCUCAGCUGGGUAAUCAUGGAAAGAAGGAGGGGCGAAGGAGGAAACUGAAAAUCGAAAUAAAGAACAGAAGCACAGACCAUGAAAUAUGCCAAAUAUAGUGUGCAAAUACUCAGAAGGCAUGGAAAGAUAAGUUAGAAGCCAAAACUCAGUUAUCACUAUCGUGUGAAGGAACAAUAAAACUCUUAGCAAAAACAAAUGACUUAGCAUGAGACCAAUACUGCUUUCCUUAGGUAGCUUGGUCCAGAGGGAAAAGGCUGAUAUCACUCCCUAUCAAGGGUUUUUAGACGGUUUAAGUGAGCUCUGCAAGUGGGAGACACGGUGAUGAUUAUUGACAGUUGCUAUCUUUCAAGGGGGAGAAGCAAACUGAUGUUACACAUUAGAAUUAGUUAGCACCACCGAACACAGGUUACAAAAAUACUGGGAGGAAUUCUCUCUCCUGAGCACAUUACGCAAUAUUUGCAAAUGUGUGCAGGUAAGUGUUGACUCUCUCAUCAUGCUGGACCUGGAAAUGGUUCUCAGCAAAUCAUGGCAUGAUUUCUUUUUCAAAGUUGGGUACACGAAUAUUAUCGUAACCAGCUAAGAGCAGGGAGACGUGGCAUGGGAGACUAACAGAUAGUGCAGCUUUUAAGAGAAGACGUAGAAAUCAAUCUAGUAACAAAUAUUUAUUAAGCAUUGGAGUGUGCUAGGCACCAAGAGAAAAGAAACCUCCACAGCUGAUAAAGCCUUUCAAAAUAAUGUCCUCAGUUAAUUUGCACAUUUCCAUGAGGUAGGUGUUGUUAGCCAUUUCCGUUAAUGAGAAAAAAAAAAAUGAGAUUCAGAAAGGUUAAUUAAAUUGGAGAUCUCCUGAUUUUUUAGUUUUAUAUCCUUCCCGUGUCCUUUCCAGGCUUAUAUUCUGGUCCUAUCACUUCUCAGCUGAGUUACUUCAACAAGUUAUUUAUUCUCUGUGUUCCCAGCUGUCAAAAUGAAAAUGCCAGUACCCACCUGGUAAGGAGUGAGAGAACAUUUAUAAAAAUGCUCGGCUGGGUACCUGACACAUAGGAGGUCCUCAGUAAAUUUGUUUUCUCCCUUUCUUCCUGAAGUACGGUGGCAGAGGGAUUCAGCCAGCCAGCCUGGGUAGCACAAGCCAUGAUGCCCUGCUGAAUCUGUGUUCUAGGGUCGGACAGGGGGAGUCCUUUUGCCUAGAGGGAUGGUGUGCGAGGCCUAAGAGGACUUGGGCAGAGUCUUGAAGGACGAGCAGGAUUUGCUGUGGUGGAGAGGUGGUCACGGGUUGAGCAGAUAGGAGAACCAAGGAAUCAAGGCAGGGAAAGAGAGGGGAUGCAUGUGAAGGGCCAGGAGCUGUUAACUAGUUUGCUAAGCAGCAGGCGAGGAUUUAGAAGGAGUUGGAGAAGUGUGGAGGGAGCUGAGGCUCUUGUGAGGGGAACUUUUAUGCUAAGGGUUCCAACUUGGCCCUGUGAAUGAAGGUGAGCUGGGGAAGGUUUGUGAACUUGGAGUCUCACCUGUAAAAGAUUAAUCUGGUGCCAGUGUACAGAAUGGACCGUCAAGGAAGAGGUGGAAAAACAAGGAAAAUUUGUAUUUUAUAGACACACACACACAUAGACACAGAGCCCUUUUUAUUAGAAAACAUAUAAUCAACUUAACCCCAUUUUAAAUGGCUUGGACAUUAAUUUUACUCUUGUAAUUGAUUAUAGAGGUUUAAAACUGUUGUGUUUUUGCCUUUGUGACAUAUUAUGGCUGUAUCUAAAAUUUAUUUGAUGUUAAAUCAAGAACAAAACUCUUCAAUUCUAUUGUUGUUCCUAAGGUAAAAUAUAAUCUACUUUGAGUCAAUUCACUGUGUCAUAAACUUUCCAGGAAUGGGAAACUUGAUAAAAAGCAGAGACUCACUGCAUAUGACAAUAAUUAAAUCUAUAUUCAACAAGUAUAAAAGAAUGGUUGUAGGGGUGAGCAAUUUGGAAGAAAAAAAGCCACUUGACUUAAAUAUGACAGAAAAUCAUACUGAGGUCUGACACCCCAUGACCUUUUUUGAGAUUUGAGGUUAUGCCAUGUAUUUGAGAAUAAAUAAAAUCCAUUUAAGUGUCUAUAUUAUUAAAUGAAUCGUAUUUUCAGAAAGCAUUAGAUAAAGUCUGUUUUAGACCUUGGAAUCCAUUUUUCUCAUGAACACAAUAUCGUAAAUAGAUGAGAAUUGAGUUCCCAGUCUAUAAAACCCUUAUUAAAUCAUCAUGUAGCUGAACUAUUCUAUAUUGGCAAUCAAUAGAGUUGAGUAAUCUUUUCAUAGUCACAGUGAUAAAAAAACAAAAAAUAUUGAAGAAGUAAUUUUUCAAAAAAUAGAGGUAUAGCACGUUUAAUUAUGGAUUAAGAGGCCGAUAAAUAAUUUUGUGGUGAUUCUGAAGAGACUAUCUGGGCACUUUCAAAAGCUUUAGAGUUGAUAAACUGUUCUUAUUAUGUCUAAUUUAAUAUUCAAAAUUUAUGACCAUUCAUUCAUUCAUCAAACAUAACUUAGAUAUCUACAAUAGGUAUUGUGCUAGCCGCUGGAGAUUUCAAUGUAAUGAAACAGUUCCUAACUUAAAGAAAAGCAGCACUUGAAAUUUUACUAAUGCAUUCAGUCAUUUACUUAACAGAUACUGAAUGUUUGCUACCGUGAGUCUAUUAUUCCUAUGCGUAUCAACUCCCAGGAAGCAUGUGUAGCUCGCUGAUGGAAUACAGAGAAAUAUUCCUGAGAGAAUACCAAAAAUAGUCCGUUUGUGCUACUAAAACAAAAUGGCUGAGACCGAGUAGCUAGCUUAUAAAGAACAGAAAGCUAUUUUCUCACAGUUCUGGAGGCUGGGAAGUCCAAGAUAAAAGCACCAACGGGUUUGGUUGUCUGGCAAAGGCUUCUCUCUGUUUCCAAGAUGGUGCCUUGUUGCUGUGUCCUCCAGAGGGAAGGAAUGCUGUGUCUUCACAUGGCAGAAGGCUGAAGGGCAAGUGAGCUAACACUGUGUGAAGCUUAUUUUAUAAGGACCUUAAUCCCAUUCAAGAGGGAG
rnacentral:lncRNA from 1 species